rnacentral:rRNA from 1 species
GGAAACCAAUGCGGGGCAACCCUUUAUUUGGUGAUUCAUAGUAAUUUUCGGAUCGAUCUUUUGAUCGAUGCAUCAUUCAAGUUUCUGCCCUAUCAGCUUUGGAUGGUAGGGUAUUGGCCUACCAUGGCAUUAACGGGUAACGGAGAAUUAGGGUUCGAUUCCGGAGAGGGGGCCUGAGAAAUGGCCACCACAUCCAAGGAAGGCAGCAGGCGCGUAAAUUACCCAAUCCUGACACAGGGAGGUAGUGACAAUAAAUAACAAUGUUGGGCCUUUUGGUCUGACAAUUGGAAUGAGAACAAUUUAAAUCCCUUAUCGAGGAUCAAUUGGAGGGCAAGUCUGGUGCCAGCAGCCGCGGUAAUUCCAGCUCCAAUAGCGUAUACUAAAGUUGUUGCAGUUAAAAAGCUCGUAGUUGAAUUUCUGAUCUCGGAUGUCGGUCAGCCCCAAGGGGUUUGUACUUGACUGUUCGGGAUCAUCCUCGAGAUGAAGAUGUCUGUCAUUUAGUUGAUGGGCAUGGGAUUCUCGUCAUUUACUGUGAGCAAAAUAG